rnacentral:rRNA from 2 species
GUGCGAGACCGAUAGCGAACAAGUACCGUGAGGAGAAGAUGAAAAGAACUUUGAAAAGAGAGUUAAAGAGUACCUGAAACUGCUGAAAGGGAACCGAAUCGUAUCCAGUGUCUAUAAUCCAUGGCAUAUUUCAUUGGCGAGUGAGUGCGUGCAGCGUUUUGGAAGUGGUUUUCCGCUCCUGUCGUUGUUGUGCAUUUGCUUGCUGGUGCCCUGUGCUGUGGUGGGACGUCAGAGUCAGUUUGUGUGUCGCGGGAAAUGGUUAUUGGGGAGGUAGGUCGCUUCGGUGGCUAUUAUAUCCUGGUAACUAGUCGUCGUGGCUGAGACUGAGGUGCCUACAAUGUGCUUUCGAGUGUGCGAGUUUCUCGUGUGGCUGUUUGCUUUGAUAGCUUGCUAUGUUGGUGAAUAAGUUGUGCGAUUGAGACCUGUAUUAACUUGUUGCUGUUCGGGACUUUGA